rnacentral:rRNA from 1 species
AUACGUAGGGAGCAAGCGUUUUCCGGAUUCACUGGGCGUAAAGGGCGCGUAGGCGGCUCGUUAAGUAUGAAGUGAAAUCUCCAGGGCUCAACCCGGAAACUGCUUUGUAAACUGGCAAGCUAGAGGAAGGCAGAGGUGAAUGGAAUUCCUGGUGUAGCGGUGGCAUGCAUUGAUAUCAGGAGGAACACCAGAGGCGAAGGCGGUUCACUGGGCCUUUUCUGACGCUGAGGCGCGAAAGCGUGGGUAGCAAACAGGAUUAGAUACCCCAGUAGUCC